rnacentral:rRNA from 1 species
GACGAACGCUGGCGGCGUGCUUAACACAUGCAAGUCGAACGGUAAGGCCCUGCUUUUGUGGGGUGCUCGAGUGGCGAACGGGUGAGUAACACGUGAGUAACCUGCCCUUGUCUUUGGGAUAACUUCAGGUAACUGGGGCUAAUACCGGAAAGUAUCUCCUGCUGCAUGGUGGGGGUUGGAAAGUUUCGGCGGUUGGGGAUGGACUCGCGGCUUAUCAGCUUGUUGGUGGGGUAGUGGCUUACCAAGGCUUUGACGGGUAGCCGGCCUGAGAGGGUGACCGGCCACAUUGGGACUGAGAUACAGCCCAGACUGCUACGUGAGGCAGCAGUGGGGAAUGUUGCACGCUGAGCGGAAGCCUGAUGCAGCAACGCCGCGUGCGGGAUGGCGGCCUUCGGGUUGUAAGCCGCUUUCGCCUGUGACGAAGCGUGAGUGACGGUAAUGGGUAAAGAAGCACCGGCUAACUACGUG